rnacentral:misc_RNA from 1 species
GAUGAAGAACGCAGCGAAAUGCGAUAAGUAGUGUGAAUUGCAGAAUUCAGUGAAUCAUCGAAUCUUUGAACGCACAUUGCGCCCCUUGGUAUUCCGAGGGGCAUGCCUGUUCGAGCGUCAUUACACCACUCAAGCUAUGCUUGGUAUUGGGCGUCGUCCUUAGUUGGGCGCGCCUUAAAGACCUCGGCGAGGCCACUCCGGCUUUAGGCGUAGUAGAAUUUAUUCGAACGUCUGUCAAAGGAGAGGAACUCUGCCGACUGAAACCUUUAUUUUUCUAGGUUGACCUCGGAUCAGGUAGGGAUACCCGCUGAACUUAAGCAUAUCAAUAAGCGAGGA